rnacentral:rRNA from 1 species
ACGCACGCUGGCGGCGUGCUUAACACAUGCCAGUCGAACGGAAAGGCCCUGCUUUUGUGGGGUGCUCGAGUGGCGAACGGGUGAGUAACACGUGAGUAACCUGCCCUUGACCUUGGGAUAACUUCAGGAAACUGGGGCUAAUACCGGAUAGGAGCUCCUGCUGCAUGGUGGGGGUUGGAAAGUUUCGGCGGUUGGGGAUGGACUCGCGGCUUAUCAGCUUGUUGGUGGGGUAGUGGCUUACCAAGGCUUUGACGGGUAGCCGGCCUGAGAGGGUGACCGGCCACAUUGGGACUGAGAUACGGCCCAGACUCCUACGGGAGGCAGCAGUGGGGAAUAUUGCACAAUGGGCGGAAGCCUGAUGCAGCAACGCCGCGUGCGGGAUGACGGCCUUCGGGUUGUAAACCGCUUUCGCCUGUGACGAAGCGUGAGUGACGGUAAUGGGUAAAGAAGCACCGGCUAACUACGUG